CGAGUUCUGUCAAAGAGAUUGUUGUGGUGACCCAUGCUACAAAGCGGUCUUUAAUGACCUAGGGUGCGACGGUCUACCACUUCUUUUAAUAUACAAGGGUGUGUUCCG
rnacentral:rRNA from 2 species